AGUGGGGAAUAUUGGACAAUGGGGGCAACCCUGAUCCAGCAAUGCCGCGUGUGUGAAGAAGGCCUACGGGUUGUAAAGCACUUUCGGUGGGGAGGAAAGGUUGAUAGUUAAUAGCUAUUGGCUGUGACGUUACCCACAAAAGCAGCACCGGCUAACUCUGUGCCAGCAGCCGCGGUAAUACAGAGGGUGCAAGCGUUAAUCGGAGUGACUGGGCGUAAAGGGCGUGUAGGCGGAUAUUUAAGUUAAUUGUGAAAGCCCUGGGCUUAACCUGGGAAAGUCGGUUAAUACUGGAUAUCUUGAGUCUGGAAGAGGGAAGUGGAAUUUCCGGUGUAGCGGUGAAAUGCGUAGAUAUCGGAAAGAACACCAGCGGCGAAGGCGGCUUCCUGGUCCAAGACUGACGCUGAGGCGCGAAAGCGUGGGUAGCAAACAGGAUUAGAUACCCUGGUAGUCCACGCAGUAAACGAUGAGUACUAGAUGAUGGGUCUUACGGGAUUUAUUAUCGCAGCUAAC
rnacentral:rRNA from 1 species